GUGACUGCCUAUAUGAAGGAUUUAUGUAAAACGGCGCAACUGUUUCAGCCUUUGCUUUGAUGCUCAUCUUGGGGAAAAUCUGAGGAGAAGAAGUUGAGGUGUGAGUACAUGUAAAGGUGACUUAAGAGCAGUGCUGAUUACACUGAAGUCCUCUCUUCACCCCACACAAUGCUUUGAUGGCAGAGAGAAUUUCCAGUGCAUCCUGUAACAACCCUGCCUCAAACAGCAACCGGAAAUGAUUGGGCUCUCAAUGCUGCUGAAUGGCAAGGAGUUUACCUAACUGCUCAGGGCAGAGGCAGAUGUCCCCCAGUGCCAGGAAUCCAGCUGGUGUCUGAAGACCACCACAUUUCAAGAAACCAUGUUUUGUUGCCUUCUGGGGGGACUUUUACAGGACAAGCUCAUUACGAGAGUUGAUGGCAGAGUUGAGGGAGCAGCAGAUGGUUUGCCACUAUGUUUUCCCACAUUUGUCAACCAGCAGUUGAAAGGCUGGAGAAACAAGGUGGGAGUCUCACAAGAUGUUUUGGUGUGAUGGAUGGCAGGGAUCCUGCCUCUCUGCUCUACAGCCACCAGUUCAUUUAAUCCGCUAUGGGGUAUCUGGGGCCUGGAUGGCUUAUAGCUGUCACUUUUCUGUCAAAGCCUUUGCUGGCGGGAGUCCUUAUGAAUUCAGAACUGUCCAUUCACAGUGUUUCAAACUUCAUUUUAAGACAGCAAUCACAACCUAUUAACCCUCCCAAUUUAUUCUGCAUGUUACCACCACAGCCCCCUUCACGGGGAGCGCUGGGGGGGGGGGGGGCCGC